AUGUGAGUCAACAGACUUUUUUGUAUAUGUGAGUCAAUAGGCUUACAUACUUUUGUUAGUCAGUGGGCAUACAUAUGUAGAAGCUGGCUGAUCAGUAUAUAGCAAUAAUAUGAUAAAACACAUUAGUAAUGCUUCAUCAUCAUGUUGAUUUUAAUAUUUUGUUUGAUUUUUCAACAUUUUCAUUGUUAGUACUGUGUACUAUAUAUGUCAGUACAUAUUGGUGUGAUGGUCCCUACCAACAGCAGUUUAUGUUUCUCAGGAAAAUGAGACAGGAACUGGUUUGGGUUGUUGUGUGUCCUUCGGCAAGGCUCUUUAUUUUUUUCCUCAGGAUGGUGUGUGAUGGGCCUCCUGGAUGUUGUUCAGUAAAGUAGCUACCAGCUACAACAAGGGAGACCUGCCUCAAAAUAACCCUGGGUGUUCAAGGGGUAGUAAGCCCAGCACACUGAUAAACCAAACUAAUUAGGUAGUCAUUUCUAUAUUUGUAUAUUUAGUCUUACAAUACAACAUUGUUAUUUUCUUAACUGUAAACAGUAACUGUAACAAAGUGUAAAUUUAUUGUUGGUGCAAAUUAUUUUAUUACAGUUUAUCCAUAUAGAGUUUUUUCCCCUUAUUAUUGUCUUCCUGAAUCAAUAUUUUCUACCAAAAUGUUCCCUGUUACUUUUCCUACUGUAUAUAUAUAAUGCUGUAAUUCUUUCAACAAGUUUUUUUACAUGGUGCUUUAUUUCUGCCUUCUAAUGAAAUACCUCACUUAUCCAGUCCUGUUGAGUAUUCAGAACAUAUGUUUGUAAAUAUUCUGUCUUUGUGAGCAUAAUAUAUGAAGUCACUCCUCAUCAUCAAUCCUUGUCUUAAUAUUUUAUCACAAGGGUAGAAGUGGUUUUGGUUCCAACACCUUUCUGAUGAUGUGGAUACAAGACAUUACCUCACAAUUGUUUAGAAAUGAAGGACAACUAGGUGGAUUAAUCAUCACACUGUUACGUACACAUACAAUUAUAUGGGUUUGAAGAUAUUGGUACGCUUUACUUCUAGUCAUAGACUAAGUUUGAACAGAAAGAUUAAAAAACAAUACAACAUUAUCCAGCAGGAUUACCUCAGGGUAAACCUUCUGACUGGUGUGCACACACAUAUAUCAUUCAUUGUAGGUUCAUGGUAGCCACCCAUGAUAUUUGAGUCUGUUAGAGUGAUGGCAUACUUAACCUCAGGUAGAGAUCAGAGGUGCGUAGUUCAACGCUUUGUUGGUGUUUCUCAGGGAGCUGAAUAACGGUUUGGUGUGUGCUGACAUGGUUGUGUCCAUCGACAAGACAAUUUACCAUUAUUGUAUUGGAUGUUGUGUGAUGGACCUCUUGUAUGUUGUUCAGUGAGGUAGUCAUUACAAACGACCUCAAAAUGACCCAGAACCAUUCAUAGGGCUAUAAACCCUACAAGCAAAUAAUGGUUGUAUGAAAAGCCAUGUUGAUGCAAUAUAAUUCACUUAGAUACAGACAUGUUACUAAUGAUUUUGUUUACUAUUUAUAAUUCAUUCACUUGUUUAUAUUUAUUUGGUGCAUUUUCUUACAUCAUUUGGUGCCUUUCUAUUACAUUAUCUUUAGGUACAUAAAGCAGGUUUGAUCAUUCCGUUUUGUCACAAGUGUGUUUGUCAGGUCGGAAAUUAUCUGUUUCUGCCUGUUUAAUGUAGUGAGAAGAAUUUAACAUAAAUGUCAGACAUUUUUAUGACCUUCAAACAACUGCUGCUCUUUCUGCUGAAGAAUAAAUGAUUCACUGGUGAUUUUCUACUACUGUAUCAAUAAGUAUAACAUAUAGGAAUCCAACCCAGGACCUCUGGUUUACUGGUCUCAUGAUGAAGGGAAGUUCUCUCUAGUGUUACAGUGUACUUAGGAUAGUAUUUAUCAGAGUUUAAUAAAAAGAAAUAAAUAUGUGGGUAUGUUUUUUUCAAUUAGAGCAAGUUGAACCAGUUUUCAGAUUUAUAAAAGCCAUGCACAUUGGUUUACCUGAAGCUCCGUCAGUUCAGAAGGACUGUACAGUAUUACUUAGGAGGAACCUAGUUGUUCAACAUAAUCUAAUUCAUAUACAAUUAUAUAUGACUUUCUUGGCAUGAGAAAUGGUUUGUUAUUUGUUUUCAGUGGUGUUCAGAGGGAAUGCUAUGGACAUAUUUAAAGCUUGAUUAAAACCUGAUACAAAUCUAUUAAGGAAGAGAGUCCCAUUACUUUGUUGUAAUCAUCAACAAGUUCGAAAUUGUUUGGAAUUUUUCUUAAUUGCAUUUGACCACCAUUUUAUUGUUGAGUAAGUUUCUGAGAAAUCAAAAAUUGUCUUGAGCAUUUUUACCACUACACAUUAUUACAUGCAAUAUUUUCUCUUUUCAAACAAAUAUAUCGGAUCUUACAUUGGCUUCCAUUUGUGUUACAGAAUUUUUCACUUUAGUGAGCCUUUGGCAAUCUGGAAUGAAAAAAUUUGUAUCAGCUACACAAUAAAUGGAGAUGAACUUCAUAUUUUUAUCACAUGAUCCAUUAUCCCAGCAAAUAUGAUAGAAAACAGACAUUUCUAUGUCAGACAUGAGGUUUUGUCUGUUCUAUAUCUACCGUAUAAAACAGACAUUUCUAUGUAAGACAUGAGGUUGUGUCUGUUCUAUAUCUACCGUAUAAAACAGACAUUUCUAUGUAAGACAUGAGGUUGUGUCUGUUCUAUAUCUACCGUAUAAAACAGACAUUUCUAUGUCAGACAUGAGGUUGUGUCUGUUCAAUAUCUACCGUAUAAAACAGACAUUUCUAUGUCAGACAUGAGGUUGUGUCUGUUCUAUAUCUACCGUAUAAAACAGACAUUUCUAUGUCAGACAUGAGGUUGUGUCUGUUCUAUAUCUACUGUUAUAUUAUAUGGUAGAAAACAGACAUUUCUAUGUCAGACAUUAGGUUGUGUCUGUUCUAUAUCUACUGUAUAAAACAGACAUUUCUAUGCCAGACAUGAGGUUGUGUCUGUUCUAUAUCUACCGUAUAAAACAGACAUUUCUAUGCCAGACAUGAGGUUGUGUCUGUUCUAUAUCUACCGUAUAAAACAGACAUUUCUAUGCCUGACAUGAGGUUGUGUCUGUUCUAUAUCUACCGUAUAAAACAAACAUGAGGUUGUGUCUGUUCUAUAUCUAGCGUAUAAAACAGACAUUUCUAUGCCAGACAUGAGGUUGUGUCUGUUCUAUAUCUACCGUAUAAAACAGACAUUUCUAUGCCAGACAUGAGGUUGUGUCUGUUCUAUAUCUACCGUAUAAAACAGACAUUUCUAUGUCAGACAUGAGGUUGUGUCUGUUCUAUAUCUACCGUAUAAAACAGACAUUUCUAUGCCAGACAUGAGGUUGUGUCUGUUCUAUAUCUACCGUAUAAAACAGACAUUUCUAUGCCUGACAUGAGGUUGUGUCUGUUCUAUAUCUACUGUUAUAUUAUAUGGUAGAAAACAGACAUGAGGUUGUGUCUGUUCUAUAUCUACCGUAUAAAACAGACGUUUCUAUGUCAGACAUGAGGUUGUGUCUGUUCUAUAUCUACAGUAUAAAACAGACAUUUCUAUGUCAGACAUGAGGUUGUGUCUGUUCUAUAUCUACCGUAUAAAACAGACGUUUCUAUGUCAGACAUGAGGUUGAGUCUGUUCUAUAUCUACCGUAUAAAACAGACGUUUCUAUGUCAGACAUGAGGUUGUGUCUGUUCUAUAUCUACCGUAUAAAACAGACAUUUCUAUGCCAGACAUGAGGUUGUGUCUGUUCUAUAUCUACAGUAUAAAACAGACAUUUCUAUGUAAGACAUGAGGUUGUGUCUGUUCUAUAUCUACCGUAUAAAACAGACGUUUCUAUGUCAGACAUGAGGUUGAGUCUGUUCUAUAUCUACCGUAUAAAACAGACGUUUCUAUGUCAGACAUGAGGUUGUGUCUGUUCUAUAUCUACCGUAUAAAACAGACAUUUCUAUGCCAGACAUGAGGUUGUGUCUGUUCUAUAUCUACCGUAUAAAACAGACGUUUCUAUGUAAGACAUGAGGUUGUGUCUGUUCUAUAUCUACCGUAUAAAACAGACGUUUCUAUGUCAGACAUGAGGUUGUGUCUGUUCUAUAUCUACCGUAUAAAACAGACGUUUCUGUGUCAGACAUGAGGUUGUGUCUGUUCUAUAUCUACUGUUAUAUUAUAUGGUAGAAAACAGACAUGAGGUUGUGUCUGUUCUAUAUCUACCGUAUAAAACAGACAUUUCUAUGUCAGACAUGAGGUUGUGUCUGUUCUAUAUCUAGCGUCUCUUGCUCUGUCACAAUGCCUUUUGUGAAUGUAUGACGUCAUUUAGAUAACACCACAUUAACCUAUAUCAUAGGUAUUCAAUAUGCAAAAGAUAUGAAGAAGUGUAUUUUUAUUUUCACUAAAUAACAAGACAAUCAUGUGAUAAAUUUUAGUUGGCGAAGGAAAUUCUAAUCUUUUGUUGCUUAAAUUACAGGGAGCUUACCCCUAGUGCUCUCAGCCAUCAGUUAUUUUUAUACUUAUCUGCAAUAUUAAAGGAAAUAAUUGGCUCCCAAAAACAGGAUGUAUCUGUAUAAUAUAUAUUGCUAUCGUGUGGAUGGAGAGAAAACAUGAAUUUCCUGUGAAGUUAGUCAUUAGGAACAUGGUUGUAAAGUGCAAGGACUGUAUUCCUGAUUAAGAAACCCUACUCAGUAAAUAUACUGUAGCCUUGCUGUACUGGUUACUAUGGUAACUAUUUAGAUAUUCCAGCAUUAAAGGUCGUAAAUAAAUAUAACAAAUGCAUCAGUCUA